UGGGAAGUGAUGAUGCUUGUGACUGCUGAGAAGACUCUGAUGUCUGUUGUAUUCGUACUGGCUGAUCCUG
ensembl:snoRNA Gm25506 small nucleolar RNA SNORD41